AUAUAUAAUUGUUGAUAUAGUAUUUUAAAUGAAGCUACUAUUUUGCCUCGCACAUAUGUCGCUCUUCAUGACUCUGAUAACUGGAAAGAAAAUGAAAAGGCAACAUUGCAGCGAAGAUCAGGUCUGGAACGUGAAAACUUAUUCGUGCGGCCCUCCUGAAUGUCCACCUGGUCAAGACUGGUUUGAGGCUCAGAAGAAGUGCGCCAAAUUUCGUAUGAUUGCAACACCGUUGUCAGAUAGUUCCUAUGAAAAUGGAGAUAUAACCCAAAAAUGCAGAAAAGGUUUCGUGUAUCUUGAGGCAAGGCAAAUUUGUGGAGCCAAGCCUAAAAUUUGUAAUAAUGAACUUUGUCAAACGAAGCCUUUGAGAUCGCAGAGGUCUUAUGAUUGCAAGCCGGGAAGAACUUGGAAUGUAAUAAGACAAGCUUGCGCACCAAUUAAAUCAGUCAGAAGUGUUGCGGAAGAUUCGCAACUUACAAAUUAAAAAUAACCAAAUAAAUAACUAAGAUUUAAUAUAAGAUAAAUUAAUCCUUGGGCUUCAGUGAGCUUAGUACCUCAGCUUUAAGUGCUUAAGCUGUUUGAGAUUGGAAAAUUCAAUAAGUUGCAAAAAUAAAAACCAAAACCAAAAGCAAUAUCCCCUCGUCUAUUGCUAAUACAGGAAAUAUCCAAAAAGACAGUUUCUCAACUGUGGGGAUUAAAAUUUAGCUGAGAGAAAAUAAUAAAAAUCGAGACGCAUAAACUA